UACGGAGGAUGCGAGCGUUAUCCGGAUUUAUUGGGUUUAAAGGGAGCGCAGACGGGAGAUUAAGUCAGUUGUGAAAGUUUGCGGCUCAACCGUAAAAUUGCAGUUGAUACUGGUUUCCUUGAGUGCAGUUGAGGCAGGCGGAAUUCGUGGUGUAGCGGUGAAAUGCUUAGAUAUCACGAAGAACUCCGAUUGCGAAGGCAGCUUGCUAAACUGUAACUGACGUUCAUGCUCGAAAGUGUGGGUAUCAAACAGG
rnacentral:rRNA from 1 species